UACAAAAACACUCUAUAAAUCUCCCAAAACAACAUUUUUAAUGGCAUAGUUGACCCAAAAAAUGUACAUUUACACACUAUUUACUCUUCCUCAUGUGUUUCCAAACUUGCUCUGCUUCUCUUCAACACAAAAGAAAAUAUUUUGAAGAAUGUUAGAAACCAUCGAAUAUUAUGCUGGAAUAUUCCAAAACGUGAAAUUUCAUUUUGUUAAUUUUUUUUUAUCUUUUCUGCAUUUAUGUUAACCUGCUUUGAUGCAUUGUAAUAACCAUUAUUAGUGACUUGACUACCAUAGCAGGAAAUACAAAUACCAUGCAAGUCAAGGGUUACAGCUUGCCAGCAUUCUUCAGAAAAUUUAACAGAAGGAAAAAGGUCAAGCAGGUUUUGAACAAGUGAAGGAAGAGUAAAUGAUACCAGAAAUUUCAGUUCCGUGUGAACUGGCCCUUUAAAUUCUAUAAGCGCUUCAUUGAAUAGAAAGAAUGCUGUAAGAGCUGGUUUAAUGUCAGUGACUGAACGUCAAUAACAUUUCUGAUGCUUUUCAUUUGUAUAAUUGCUGUGCGUGAUCUUUAAUGCUCACGGGUAGUUUCUAGAGACUUAAGGUAUUUCCUGUUGGAGUCAACUUGAGGAUCAUUUUCUCUAAUUGUUUAAGGAGACAUAUGUUUAACUCUAAUAAAUAUGAUGUUCUGUAGGAACCACCAGGAUUUAUACAUAGUUCUUGGUUAUACUCGGAUUUGUUUAUAGAUUUUGUCUGAUUUGUGAUGAGUAAGAACUAAAUUGUCCUGCCAGUUGCAAUGUAAGAUACAGUUUCCAAGUAGAAAUGCAUUAAUAAAAUGUGUGUGUGUAGGAGAGCAAAAGCUGGUGUGAAGUCAUCACAGCAGACGUGUGUGUUCAUCUGACCUUCAGUCUGUUCUGUCUAGUGGAUGAGAAGAUCCUUGAAGACCUCGGCGAAGUGAAA